rnacentral:lncRNA from 1 species
AGAGAGGCUGUGAGGGUGGCUUUGUGAGGAUGGCUUUGUGUGGCUGCACAUUGCCCUUGGCCAAGCCCCGCUGCCAGGAGAGGCAGCUCGGCUGCCAAACCUCCUGAACCCAAGUUACCUGAGCAAGCAGCCCUAUCCCCUCGCCUGCUUCUCACUGCCUCGCCUGCCUUGGGCCUGCCCGACCCAGGGGGUCACAUGCCUUGUUCCCCAUCAGUGGAGACCAGGGACAAGAAGACAGUUCUGUGGGAAGAGCCAGGAGGACCAUUUGGGAAAAUACAGGUUCCAGGUGUGUCUCCAGACCUUGAGAGUUGGUGUCUCCUGGGAAGAGGCCCUGAUGAGAUCUGGGGAGAUUCGGAUCUGAUGAGAUUCAGGAAGCCCUGGCCUCUCCGUACUUGAGGAGACGGGACACACAGGACAAGCUGCAGGCUGGUGAGCAGGUUCACCUUCUAUUUUGAAGACCCGCUUCUUCCUCAGGUACCUGAUCUUGAAAACGACCUCCCCUUUCAGUUCUGGAGGCCAGAAGCCCAAAAUCAGUCUCGCUGGGCUAACGUGAAGGUGUCAGUCGGGCUGGUUCCUUCUGGAGGCUCCAGAAAAGAAUCUGUUUUCUUGCCUUUUCUGGCUCAGUUUCUCGGCUUGUGGCUCCUUCCUCCAUCUUCAAAGAGCACCACUCCAAUCUGCUCCUCCAUCAGGUCACCUUCUGCCUGACUCCUACAUCCCUUUCAGAAGGACCCUUGUGAUUCCAUGAGGUCCACCCAGAUCACGCAGGAUAAUGUCCCCGUCUCAAGAGGCUUAAUCUAAUCACAGUGAAAACCAUUUCCUCCUCGUCGUGGCGCAGGUCCAGAGGCUGCGCCCAUCUCUCCCACGUCAACAGUCCUGUGUCCUUGGCGAAGGACUGUUCUCUCAUUCAGUGCCUUUCCUCUCUUCCUGGGCCAAAUCCCUGCUUUGCGUCUCCCUGCAGCUCAUAAAAAGCUGAAUUACCUGAGGCAGGGAAAGCCCCACCCACUGUCAUUCUCAGGGAGGAGUGGAGUCUGCAGAGGCCGCAAUGCACAGCUUCCCUAUCCCCCUCCACCCGUGUUUUCCCAGAGCAGCUCUGUUCCAGGCCCGGGGGUGUCCCUGGGCCGAGAUGGAAUCCAGCCCUGACCACCUCCCAAAGCCAACAGCCCUGAGUGAGCGUGCAGAGAAGCAAGAGCUGUUCCUGAUGCAGAGCAAAGACAUCUCCCAGUCAAGGGGGAUGAACUGAUUUGGGACAAAAGGCAGUUGUUGGCUGAGGAAGGCAGGAUCUGGGGGAGCCCUGUGCUGAGUGGAGGUGGGUGGGUGUAUUUCCUUGGCUCACAGAGGCCUCUUGUCUGGUGGGAUCAGCUCCUCCAGCCAGUUGCCACCUGGUCCAGCUUUGGGAGAUGUGGAGAAUGACUUUCGCAGUGAUUUCCACUGGGCCAUGGCAUUGAAACAGCUGCAGGAGGGGACACAGCUGGUGCCACCCCUACUCCGUCCAUUAGAGCUGCUGUGAAGGAAUGCCACCCUCCCCAUGGGGAGUGAGGGGGCCCUACUUGCUGUGGUUGGUUCCAGGGACCAUGGGAAGAGGCAAACCCCUAUUUUCAAGGGCACAAGUUGGCUUUUAUUAAAAUAAAAUUUCAUCAUCACUUAUUCCAGUGGCUCCCAAACUUGGCUAAACAUCAGGAUCACCCAGGAUGUUUGUUAAAAAAUAAAGAUUAUGGCCGGGU